AUGUAUUAGGUUGGUGCAAAAGUAAUUGCUGUUUUUGUCUUUGAAAGUAAUAGCAAAAACUGCAAUUAAUUUUGCACCAAACUAAAA
rnacentral:miRNA from 1 species